rnacentral:lncRNA from 1 species
AGGACUUCUGUUUUCUUCUCAUUGCUACUGGUAACCAGAGCUUUGACAAUAAGGGCUGGACAGUGGCCCUGCUGUGAGAAGAGAGAAAAGGAACGGGGCUGAGGGAAGGACGAGAGACAAGAUCCAGAGGGUGCUGCUCCCUUGGGAAUAGAGAAGGCGAGGGAAGGAUAUUGUCUUGGUGCCUGUGAAUUCCAGAUCUGAAGGCGAUGCUAUUGGAUCUGGGUCUUUCCUCAUCAGCCCACUCCUGGAAAUGGUGGGCAGCUGGAGCCAAGAUGACAAAGGGGAAGAUUAGAGGCAACUGAGACCUAAGUCCUGGACCUGGAAGGUGAAAAGGGAUCGUGUGGCUGCAGACUGAGGAAGUGGUCAGCAGAUGACGUCGCAAGUCAGAAAGGACUGAAACGUCAAGACCGUUCCGGCCUAAGAGGCAGAGAAGAGGGCAGGCGAGUGUGGCAAAGGCGGAUUGGGCUGACGGUUAAGGAGGAAAAGGAACAGUCAUCCUACUGGGAAUACGACAACUAA